GAUAGGAUGACUCUAAAACUGACGACACAGAAACCCCAAAGGAGCCGAUAGCAAGUACAAGUCAAGAAAACAAAGAUGACGACCUCCCCGUGCCCGAUGACGCUGAGAAAGCGACGCCCACUGGGGCGGUGCAGGCGCUGCCGUCAUGCCAAACGCAGAGCGACAGCGGCGGUGCUGCAGAGGAAGAAGAAACGCUGAUCCACGCAGCAUCAAGCAAACCGGCUGCUGGACACGCUACCAAGUCUCUUUCUUCAGCGUCUUCGUCGAUGGCGUCCUCUGGGUCCUUAACGCUGUCCCCCGGUCGAGCAAAGAUGAGUGUUAGCGGCCCCUCUGGGAGUAAAUCCUCUCCUCCGCUCGCUCCAUCCUCCUCUCCUUCCACUUCUGCCUCCCCGUCUGUUUCCCCUGGCCCGCCCAAGAUCCACCGGGCCCGCAAGACCAUGAGCAAACCUUCUAUCGGGCAGCACACGAGUUUUGGAGAAACUGCUUCAGCAUCCCAGACCCCGUCAGGAUCUCCCCGCCUCAUUUCUGACCCUGAAAGCGCGGUCUUAAAAAAGAGGAAGCUGGGUCAUUUAUCAGACAGCCGGUGUGAAAACAUUCCAGAUCAUUCUCAGACUGAUGAGACGUUGUUUCAUAAGAAGGCAGAAGCUGCUGUGGUGAAAAGCAAAAGGAAGAGCGGAGAUGAAGGAGGAGAACGGAGCCACAGCUCCACUCCAUCGGCUCAAGAUCCUGGAAACUUUCAAAACGGAGUCAAUGCAAACGAGCGAUCGAAUGAAACUGAGGAGCAUUGUUUAGAGACUGAAACGCCGAAAAGCGUCCGGAAUGACGGCGAGGAGUCUUCGUGGUCGCUGUCAGGUCGGGGCAGAAAGAGAAGCUCUGCUGACCUGGCGGAGACGGAGGAAGAAGAACGAGCCGACGAAUACACCGAGGUUCCUUUGGGUGACCUGGACCUCGCAGCUGCUGACAGUCUGACUCUGUCCCCUCCUCCUGAAGGAAGCGACGCCGGCGACACGGAGCGGCUGGAGGAGCUUCCUCUCUGCAGCUGCAGGAUGGAAGCUCCUCGGAUCGACAGCAGCGGCCAGCGCAGCAGCAGACAGUGCAUGGCCACGGAGAGCAUCAACGGAGAGCUGCGGGCGUGCACCAGCUGGACGGUGAAAGGCGAGACCAUGCGACCGUCCAGCCGCGUCUCCCUCAUGGUGCUCUGCGACGUCCAUCGCUCACACAUGGUCAAACACCACUGCUGUCCGGGCUGUGGGUACUUCUGCAUCGCAGGCACGUUUCUGGAGUGCUGUCCCGACCAGCGCAUCGCGCACCGCUUCCACCGCGGCUGCGUGACCGUGCUGAGCAGCGGGCGCAGCCGCGCCAACGGCGGCGGCAUGAUCUUCUGCCCCCACUGCGGGGAGGACGCCUCGGAGGCCCAGGAGAUCACCCUCCCGUCCUCCAGCGCCGCCGCCACCGUCGUCACCAUGUCCGCCUCCUCCACCACCACGCCGUCGCUGCCCCUGCCGCCCCCUCCGGCCCCUCCCUCAACGAGGAAGAAGUUGAGGUUUCACCCUCGACAACUCUAUCCAGCCGCCAAGCAAGGGGAGGGGCAAAGAGUUCUGCUGAUGCUGAUGGAGGGAAUCGAUCCCACGUACCAGCCGGACUCCCAGAAUCGGCGCUCCGCUCUACACGCUGCAGCUCAAAGAGGUUUACUGGAGAUCUGCUACAUGCUGAUACAGGCCGGCGCCAACGUGGACGCCAAGGACAAAGAAAUGAGGACUCCUCUGCUGGAGGCCGUCAUCAACAACCACGUGGAGGUGGCCCGCUACCUGGUCCAGAGCGGAGCCUGCGUCUAUCACGAGGACGACGGAUACACCGGCCUUCACCACGCCGCCAAGCUGGGGAACCUGGAAAUCGUUAACAUGCUUCUGGAGACGGGCCAGGUGGACGUGAACGCACAGGACAACGGGGGCUGGACGCCCAUCAUCUGGGCUGCCGAGCACAAACACGUGGAGGUGAUCAAGGCUCUGCUGAACCGAGGAGCAGACGUCUCCAUCACGGAUAAGGAGAUGAACGUUUGUCUCCACUGGGCGGCGUACGCGGGAAGUGUGGACAUCGCCGAGAUGGUGUUGAACUCCGGCUGCUCGCUCGCCUCCGUCAACGUCCACGGCGACACGCCGCUGCACAUCGCCGCCAGGGAGGGAUACCUGGACUGUGUGACGUUGUUCCUCAGCAGAGGUGCAGACAUCGACAUCAUGAACAAAGAGGGGGACACGCCGCUCAGCCUGGCCCGGGCCGACACCCCCGUGUGGGUGUCGCUCCAGAUCAACAGGAAACUACGCGUUUGGCCGGCUCUCCGUCACGCUUCCCGCCGCGUCUUUAGGGACAUCGCCCAAGGCUACGAGAACGUGCCCAUCCCCUGCGUGAACGGCGUGGACGAGGAGGGCUGCCCGUCCGACUACAAAUACGUUUCGGAGAACUGCGAAACAUCGGCCAUGAACAUCGACCGGAACAUCACGCACCUGCAGCACUGCGGCUGCACGGACGACUGCUCCUCCAGUAACUGCCUCUGUGGGCAGCUCAGCAUCCGGUGCUGGUACGACAAGGACCAGCGGCUGCUGCAGGAGUUCAACAAGAUCGAGCCUCCGCUCAUCUUUGAGUGCAACAUGGCGUGCUCCUGUUACCGCAGCUGCAAGAACAGAGUGGUUCAGGCCGGCAUCAAAGUCCGGCUGCAGCUCUACAGGACGGAGAAGAUGGGCUGGGGGGUCCGAGCUCUGCAGGACAUCCCCCAAGGGAGCUUCAUCUGCGAGUACGUCGGAGAGCUGAUUUCUGACGCCGAGGCCGACGUCCGAGAAGACGACUCCUACCUGUUCGACCUGGAUAACAAGGACGGGGAGGUGUACUGCAUAGACGCCCGUUACUACGGCAACAUCAGCCGCUUCAUCAACCACCUGUGCGACCCGAACCUCAUCCCGGUGCGGGUCUUCAUGCUGCACCAGGACCUGCGCUUCCCGCGCAUCGCCUUCUUCAGCUCGCGGGACAUCCUGAGCGGGCAGGAGCUGGGGUUCGACUACGGCGACCGCUUCUGGGACAUCAAGAGCAAGUACUUCACCUGCCAGUGCGGCUCGGAGAAAUGCAAACACUCGGCCGAGGCCAUCGCCCUGGAGCAGAGUUCAUGUUUGACUCUCUAA
ensembl:lncRNA